GACGAACGCUGGCGGCGUGCCUAAUACAUGCAAGUCGAACGAGUGGCGGACGGGUGAGUAAUGUCUGGGAAACUGCCCGAUGGAGGGGGAUAACUACUGGAAACGGUAGCUAAUACCGCAUACCAUCGGAUGUGCCCAGAUGGGAUUAGCUAGUAGGUGGGGUAAAGGCUCACCUAGGAGACGAUCCCUAGCUGGUCUGAGAGGAUGACCAGCCACACUGGAACAAGGACACGGUCCAGACGCCUACGGGAGGCAGCGGUGGGGAAUAUUGCACAAUGGGCGCAAGCCUGAUGCAGCCAUGCCGCGUGUAUGAAGAAGGCCUUCAGGUUGUAGAGUACUUUCAGCGAGGAGGCGUUACGCGCAGAAGAAGCACCGGCUAACUCCGUGCCAGCAGCCGCGGUAAUAC
rnacentral:rRNA from 1 species